UGUUAUGCUUGGCUCUUUAAUUGUUCCGUAUUGCAUCUUAGUAUAGACUUUUUCUUUUUUAGUUCUGAGAUAUAUAUAUAUAUAUAUAUAUAUAUAUAUAUAUAUAUGUAAAUUUAUCCUGCAAGAUUUUCUAGUAUCUAUAUGUGUUGGAUAUCUGAAUUUCAUAUCUGAAACUUAAUCUCUUAUGCAUAGACCCCUUUAUUUACACAAGUGCCCAUUUCACAAAUAUUUUAAUAUGUUUGCAGCGACGAUAUUGCAGGUACGCAAAUGUAAAAGCCGCUUUUUCUUUAAAUCUCGAGCGAGCAUUUUUGAUCGUCCUUCUAGAAGCCCAUGAAGACAUUUGACCCUUGGCUGUGAUUCAUAGAUAUCUGGCUCAAUAUGAUCUCAUAUUUGUGGAUUGUACUUAAAACUUUUCAACAUCUGUAAACAACAAAAUUUACGAAAAUCAAUUGAUCGGAAA